UACGGAGGGUGCAAGCGUUAUCCGGAUUUACUGGGUUUAAAGGGUGCGUAGGUGGAUAAGUAAGUCAGUGGUGAAAUCUCCGGGCUUAACCCGGAAACUGCCAUUGAUACUAUUUGUCUUGAAUACUUUGGAGGUAAGCGGAAUAUGUCAUGUAGCGGUGAAAUGCUUAGAUAUGACAUAGAACACCAAUUGCGAAGGCAGCUUACUACA
rnacentral:rRNA from 1 species